rnacentral:lncRNA from 1 species
AGCAUUUCUAUAGGUGGCUAGAAAUUAAAGCACCUUAGUCUUCACCUUUUCCUAUUACGGCAUAAUUCAUUAAGAAACAUUUCGAACUGAUGUACGAUUAUAAUACAAGUUCACGGAUCAGAAUAUAUGACCCCACAUAAUACUCUAACUAGUUAUAGAGCUGACAAAGAGACCAUUAUCCCUGAUGCAUUUCACCUUCUAAGGCAACUAACACUCCAAAAUGCAGCUUAACAAACGCAAUAGUACAGAAUACAUACUUCCCUCUAUGAUACUAGGCUGAGACAAAUUGACAUUCAAACUACCACUGUCAAAAUUCUAGAAGUUCAACAAUCAGAGCCUCUUUCAUCCAUUUUAAAAUUUGUGCUUAUGUGAUGUUACAAACAAUGUAACAUGGCUUGAAAACUAAGCACACAAAAAGAAAAGAGCACCGAAUGUAUGUGGAAUAUGGAAGGGAGCAGCUAUAUCCAGUACACCUCCAAAGCCUCGGAGAACCAAAAACCUUGAGGAAGCUUCAUCCUUGGUGAAUAUAGCCUCUGGAACCUUUACAUGGGAUUAAUUGGCUCUGUCAUAUCCUGCACAGCAAGCCGCUCAGAAACAUCAGCAAGUGAUUUCAGGUUGCAUUUGAUUAGAGCUUCAACAAAAUAACAGGUCUCAUCUUUGGUGUUUCCUUCAGGCACGUCUACCACAAACGAUUCAAUCACUAGUGUCCCAGGUCUUCCAUCAAUGACCUCUGGAUGGAGA